rnacentral:rRNA from 1 species
UACGUAGGGUGCAAGCGUUAAUCGGAAUUACUGGGCGUAAAGCGUGCGCAGGCGGUUGUGCAAGACAGAUGUGAAAUCCCCGGGCUCAACCUGGGAAUUGCAUUUGUGACUGUACGGCUAGAGUGUGUCAGAGGGGGGGUAGAAUUCCACGUGUAGCAGUGAAAUGCGUAGAGAUGUGGAGGAAUACCGAUGGCGAAGGCAGCCCCCCUGGGAUAACACUGACGCUCAUGCACGAAAGCGUGGGGAGCAAACAGG